rnacentral:misc_RNA from 1 species
AAAAAGGGAAGAUCCUUUUGGUGUUGCUCCGAAAGUUAUGUUCAAUAAACACAUUUGCAGCAGGAAAUAGGACAAAAAUUACUUUUCAAAAAUCAGUUUCUCAUGCAGUCACAUCUGAGGAUAAUGAUUGUAGAACAACCUCCACAGAGGACAUUGUUGCAUCCCUCCAUCUUGUUGAGCCAUCUGAUCCUCACACUUCUUUCUUGUGUGCAACAUUUGAGGUAAUUUGCUUAUUUAUCUCUUGUUGGUUGGUAUAU